rnacentral:rRNA from 1 species
GACGAACGCUGGCGGCGUGCUUAACACAUGCAAGUCGAACGGUAAGGCCCUUCGGGGUACACGAGUGGCGAACGGGUGAGUAACACGUGGGUGAUCUGCCCUGCACUUCGGGAUAAGCCUGGGAAACUGGGUCUAAUACCGGAUAGGACUCCGGACUGCAUGGUCUGGGGUGGAAAGCUUUUGCGGUGUGGGAUGGGCCCGCGGCCUAUCAGCUUGUUGGUGGGGUGAUGGCCUACCAAGGCGACGACGGGUAGCCGGCCUGAGAGGGUGACCGGCAACGCUGGGACUGAGAGACGGCCCAGACUCCUACGGGAGGCAGCAGUGGGGAAUAUUGCACAAUGGGCGCAAGCCUGAUGCAGCGACGCCGCGUGAGGGAUGACGGCCUUCGGGUUGUAAACCUCUUUCAGCAUCGACGAAGCGAAAGUGACGGUAGGUGCAGAAGAAGGACCGGCCAACUACGUGCCAGCCGCCGCCGUAA